GACGUAGGAUGCGAGCGUUGUCCGGAUUUAUUGGGCGUAAAGAGUUCGUAGGUGGUUCAUUAAGUCUGGUGUAAAAGACUGGGGCUCAACCCUGGGAUCGCACUGGAUACUGGUGGACUGGAGUGAGGUAGAGGCAAGCGGAAUUCCCAGUGUAGCGGUGAAAUGCGUAGAUAUUGGGAAGAACACCGGUGGCGCAAGCGGCUUGCUGGGCCUUAACUGACGCUGAGGAACGAAAGCUAGGGGAGCGAAUGGG
rnacentral:rRNA from 1 species